rnacentral:piRNA from 1 species
GCAGAUAGAAGGGCUGGCUUUGU